GACGAACGCUGGCGGCGUGCUUAACACAUGCAAGUCGAACGGAAAGGCCCUGCUUUUGUGGGGUGCUCGAGUGGCGAACGGGUGAGUAACACGUGAGUAACCUGCCCUUGACUUUGGGAUAACUUCAGGAAACUGGGGCUAAUACCGGAUAGGAGCUCCUGCUGCAUGGUGGGGGUUGGAAAGUUUCGGCGGUUGGGGAUGGACUCGCGGCUUAUCAGCUUGUUGGUGGGGUAGUGGCUUACCAAGGCUUUGACGGGUAGCCGGCCUGAGAGGGUGACCGGGCACAAUGGGACUGAGAUACGGCCCAGAAUCCUACGGGAGGCAGCAGUGGGGAAUAUUGCACAAUGGGCGGAAGCCUGAUGCAGCAACGCCGCGUGCGGGAUGACGGCCUUCGGGUUGUAAACCGCUUUCGAAUGUGACGAAGCGUGAGUGACGGUAAUGGGUAAAGAAGCACCGGCUAACUACGUG
rnacentral:rRNA from 1 species